CGGGUGAGUAACACGUGGGCAAUCUGCCCUUCACUCUGGGACAAGCCCUGGAAACGGGGUCUAAUACCGGAUAACACUUCUGCUCUCAUGGGCAGGGGUUAAAAGCUCCGGCGGUGAAGGAUGAGCCCGCGGCCUAUCAGCUUGUUGGUGAGGUAAUGGCUCACCAAGGCGACGACGGGUAGCCGGCCUGAGAGGGCGACCGGCCACACUGGGACUGAGACACGGCCCAGACUCCUACGGGAGGCAGCAGUGGGGAAUAUUGCACAAUGGGCGAAAGCCUGAUGCAGCGACGCCGCGUGAGGGAUGACGGCCUUCGGGUUGUAAACCUCUUUCAGCAGGGAAGAAGCGAAAGUGACGGUACCUGCAGAAGAAGCGCCGGCUAACUACGUGCCAGCAGCCGCGGUAAUACGUAGGGCGCAAGCGUUGUCCGGAAUUAUUGGGCGUAAAGAGCUCGUAGGCGGCUUGUCACGUCGGGUGUGAAAGCCCGGGGCUUAACCCCGGGUCUGCAUUCGAUACGGGCUAGCUAGAGUGUGGUAGGGGAGAUCGGAAUUCCUGGUGUAGCGGUGAAAUGCGCAGAUAUCAGGAGGAACACCGGUGGCGAAGGCGGAUCUCUGGGCCAUUACUGACGCUGAGGAGCGAAAGCGUGGGGAGCGAACAGGAUUAGAUACCCUGGUAGUCCACGCCGUAAACGGUGGGAACUAGGUGUUGGCGACAUUCCACGUCGUCGGUGCCGCAGCUAACGCAUUAAGUU
rnacentral:rRNA from 1 species